UACGGGGGGGGCAAGCGUUGUUCGGAAUUACUGGGCGUAAAGGGCUCGUAGGCGGCCAACUAAGUCAGACGUGAAAUCCCCAGGCUUAACCUGGGAACUGCAUCCGAUACUGGAUGGCUUGAAUCCGGGAGAGGGAUGCAGAAUUCCAGGUGUAGCGGUGAAAUGCGUAGAUAUCAGGAGGAACACCGGUGGCGAAGGCGGGUCUCUGGGCCGAUACUGACGCUGAGGAGCGAAAGCGUGGGGAGCGAACAGG
rnacentral:rRNA from 1 species